rnacentral:rRNA from 1 species
UGGGGAAUAUUGCGCAAUGGGGGAAACCCUGACGCAGCGACGCCGUGUGAGGGAAGAAGGCCUUCGGGUCGUAAACCUCUGUCGGGAGGGAAGAACCGCCGGGUUCCGAACAGGGACUCGGCCUGACGGUACCUCCGAAGGAAGCGCCGGCUAACUCCGUGCCAGCAGCCGCGGUAAUACGGAGGGCGCGAGCGUUAAUCGGAAUCACUGGGCGUAAAGCGCGCGUAGGCGGCCAGAUAAGUCGGGCGUGAAAGCCCUCGGCUCAACCGAGGAACUGCGUUCGAUACUGUUUGGCUUGAGUCCUGGAGAGGGUGGCGGAAUUCCGGGUGUAGGAGUGAAAUCCGUAGAUAUCCGGAGGAACACCGGUGGCGAAGGCGGCCACCUGGACAGGUACUGACGCUGAGGUGCGAAAGCGUGGGGAGCAAGCAG